UGCAAAACAUUCCUUCUUGCCCUGCACAAUUAAAAAAUUAUACAUACAUUAAACCAGUCAAUUAAAAAAAAUUCAUAAACAUCCCAAAUAACAAAAAUGAAAGUAGACUCAAUGAUAACACAAUCAAAGAAAAGAAGAACUAAUAAACCAAUACAACUACCAACAUUCUUAAACAAAUUAUUAGUAAUCCUCUAUGCCACAAGCCUCAACACAAGGAUAUCCAUGCUAUGGAGCCAGUUAAAGUUUAACAUUACUGCUCAACAAGAAAAGUAUCAUGAGUCUCUGUUCGUGACAACCAUCGCUCCACCAGCAACACAAGCAAGCUUGAUGCCCAUCUUUCAUACGUAACCAAGAAAUCAUAUUAUCGUUCAUAAAAGGGCCACAACAACCCAAGGGGAACUAUAUUUUAAGACAAAUGAUUAAUAGUAGCUAUGGGCCAUCUCAUUUGUCUUGGAGAAAAUGUCAAUUUUAGGCUGUUAUUAGUAGUACCUGUUCAAUGAAAUAAACAAGCA
rnacentral:misc_RNA from 1 species